rnacentral:rRNA from 1 species
GAUGAACGCUGGCGGCGUGCCUAAUACAUGCAAGUCGAGCGAACAGACGAGGAGCUUGCUCCUCUGACGUUAGCGGCGGACGGGUGAGUAACACGUGGAUAACCUACCUAUAAGACUGGGAUAACUUCGGGAAACCGGAGCUAAUACCGGAUAAUAUAUUGAACCGCAUGGUUCAAUAGUGAAAGACGGUUUUGCUGUCACUUAUAGAUGGAUCCGCGCCGCAUUAGCUAGUUGGUAAGGUAACGGCUUACCAAGGCAACGAUGCGUAGCCGACCUGAGAGGGUGAUCGGCCACACUGGAACUGAGACACGGUCCAGACUCCUACGGGAGGCAGCAGUAGGGAAUCUUCCGCAAUGGGCGAAAGCCUGACGGAGCAACGCCGCGUGAGUGAUGAAGGUCUUCGGAUCGUAACACUCUGUUAUUAGGGAAGAACAAAUGUGUAAGUAACUAUGCACGUCUUAACGGUACCUAAUCAGAAAGCCACGGCUAACUACGUG